GCUUCCCACAGCCCCUGUUGGCUCUCCCCGCUGAUAUAACCCCUCACAGCUGGAAAUGGGGCAUUUUGGCCUGGGUGUCCUGCCACACACAGCCUGCCGUGGACGAUCUGAUUCAGCUCCCUCACGCCCCGUAGCUCUCCUCAGCGAUCAACGUGACCGGCAUCGCACCAAGCACAACGUACGGACAGUUUUUUUACCAAAAAAAAGCAGUGUUUGAGCCUCACCCCUUUCCUUGGGGGCGCCAGCCCACAGCCCCACAGCCCCCCUCCGCACCACGACGGCAGGCGCAGUUUCGCAGGAUUCCUGUCACGAAUCCACGCCGAGACCGCCGAGGAUGAAGUGUUUGCAGGGCUCAGGGCUUGCGGAGUUCAGCCAUAAGGAACAGACCAAGGAGGUUGGGCACACACACAUGCAAGGACGUGCGGAUGGGAGGCGAUCCGAUGUGCUUUCCAUCAGAAAGAGUAAUCCUGUUUAUACACGGAUGAAACAAGCGUGGUGAGUGAGAGCACGCAGCUUGCCCCAAGUCUGGGGGUCUCAGAGGAUGUAAGAGUGCAAAUUAAUCACACACAAUUUUAAACAGAAGAGAGAUGGCUUUCUUGCAGCUGACUUACGGAAAAAUCACACCGGGAAUCUCUUUACAUCUUUCCCUGUGAACCCUUUUCAUAAAGUGCUUACUUUUGAUGAAAUGCUGAAAGAAUCGCUCAAAUAACCAGAGCUGCCAAAGACAGCCGCAUCAUAUGAUUUUAAAAAGUUGCCCUGGAUCAUUCACUUCUGUGUUUAAAAAUAUCAACAAGUCUCUUUUGAUGUUUCUUUUGCCCUUGAGGAAUGAUUCUUCAUCAUCCUCUAAACUCCAUUAUGAAAGCAAACCAUCACUUUGAGGGCACUGGCGUGUCACUCUUGCCCAUGUUUGUAAUUCAUUUGCAGUUUUGUUAGUAGUGCUUUUCGCAGCAACUCACGAGAACACAUCAUUCUCCUAGUUAAGUUAAUUUUCUUCACAGAGGCAUGUAGAGUGCUGUGUUUGGGAUUUUUUAUGAAGUUGGUGAUGAUAACAUAUGAAAACAUACGGAUGUUUUUGGUUGUUGCAGAGCACUGAUUGCACAGUCAAGGAUCUUUCAGCUUCUCAUGCUGCCCUGCCAGCGAGGAGGCUGGGAGUGCACAGAGUUUGCUGGAAGGAUACACAAGUGAGACAGGGAAUCCAGAAUAACCAGAGGGAUGGCCCACACCGUGUGGUGUCACGUUCAACAAUAAAAGCUGGGGUAAAGAAGGGGGUGAACAUUCAGAGUGAUGGUGUUUGUCUCCCCAAGAAACCAUGACAUGACGAGCCCUGCUUUCCUGGAGAACUGAAUACCUGCCUGUCAAUGGAAAGGAGCAAAUGAAUUCCUUGUUUUUCUUUGCUUGUACACCACAGCUUUUGCUUUACCUAGUGAACUGUCUUUAUCUCAAGCCACAAGUUCUCACACUUCUUACCUUUCACAUUCAAGAGAAUGAGAAAGGUGGGAGACCACAUCCCAGCUGGGGAGAGUGAGAGCAGCUGGGUGGUGCUUAGCUGCCUGCUGCGGUUAAACCACAACAACACAUAAUUAAGGAUUAUUAAUAAAAAAGCAUACUGUCAGAGUUGUUGAACAAAAUACUAGAAGUGAAAGAACUGGUGCACCUUGGAUAAUAUUGUUUUCAGUACCUCAAUUGUAUGUGAGGAAAUUAAGAUGUAAGAGGAAAACUCAGAUGAAGGUGGAAAAAUGGACCCCCUUAGCAGCAUGACUGACAAAGCUCAUUAACAGAAUCCUUUUUAACCUGAUAUUUUCAGACCUUUUUGGAGGGUUCUGGAUACAAACAUCCAAAGUACAGAAAGAUGUGUUUUUAAAGGAGUGAUGCCACAAUUACUGAAAAAGCAGUAAAUCAGUUAAUUAGAUAUCUCACAGGUCAGUUGCCUUAGAAACAUCACAGAAUGGCUGAGGCUGGAAGGGACCUCUGGUGCCCACCUAAUCCAAUGCCCCUGUUCAAGCAGGGUCACCAAGAGCAAGUUGCCUAGGACCAUGUCCUUUUUUUUUUGAAGACCUCCAAGGACAGUGAGGGGCUUGAUUGAUAUACAAAGGGGGCAUGCAAAAGUUUUCUUUGCUGUGUUUUAUGGCAGACAAAAUCUUUUCAUCUAACCAAACCAACCGUCAUUCAACACAAAAAUCCAUAUUUACGUGAAAAUAUUGAGAUUAAUGGCUCACCAUUUAGGUGAUGUUUGGAGCAGAGCUGUCUUUUGCCAUGGAGCUUUUGUAUGUGACUAACAUAGAAACUGAUUAAUUCCUGAGCUGAGGAGUCCCCCAGGUGAAAUCAUUCUCUUUCCCAGAACAGCUGUUUUCACAUGGGCCAUAAACCUUUAUCAACUCCUUGGCAUUUUUUUCAUUUCAUCUUCCUUUCUUAGUGAACUUUUUCUUUCCUUUAAUCAUUUGCUCUGAUGGUUUCAUCGCAUCAGUUUCUUUGACCCUCUUCACAUUCUCAUCUUUUUUUUUUUUUGAAAUCACUUUUCUACCUCUGAGCAUCCACAGAUAUUUUGCAUCAUUAUCUGUCUGAAUGUUCUCAUAGACGAUUGCCUCUCAGUAUUUACCUGAUGUCUCUGCUGCCUCUAGCUGACAGAAGCAACAGGCCAGUGGGCUAACUCAACUGUUCUGCAUGCAGGGAAAAGCAGGAGUGUUUGAAGAGUAGAUUAUCUCUUGACAGCAGUAACACUCCUUUGCUUUCCUGUUUUCCUUCCAACUCCGUUUGCAAGUCGUGUAUCUGCAGGAGAGGGAGGGAAAUCCUAUCUAUCUCCCUAUCAGACAGGGAGGAAUUUUUAAGAUCUCUUGUUUGCUGACCGCAGUUAUGUGAAAGGCAAAUCAAACAAAAUUGCAGCACUGAUAUGUUAGAAGGGUAGCCUCUGUGGUAGGAUAGUGUUCGGCUGAUAAAGUUUGCUUCCUGUUAACUCACCUGUGGCAAAGCGUGUUGAAUAUUAUAUAUUCACUUUAUUUAUACAGAUUUUUAAGCCCAGUUCUUUUGCUGUAAUUAGAAAUUCAGAUGUUACCCCAGCUGCUAUGGACAGCUGUGAUUUCUGAACACUCCUAUUUUCUUCUAAGUCAUUACUCAUUUCGCUCUUAUUUUCAGUCCCUUCACCUCCCCAGCUCCUUGUUUACCUCUGAAACACGCUAUGCAUUUAAUGACUUCCACUCCUAGGUCCUUAUGGAAAUGGAUGUUUACGAGGCCUGGAUAACCACAUUAAUGACAACAAGUCCUGCGUGCUGGUUAGCAGGUGGCUUUGAACAUCGGUCCAGAGACACGGAUCACGUACAUCGGUCAGAAGGGCACAGAAGGGGAACAGCAGAGGUGUUAAAAAUCAGAGUGGGGCAGAACCAGGGAGAGCUGGCUGUGUUAUGCCCAGCUGUCUGCUAGGGUGCCUGGAAGAGCCGUGUGUGCUCCAUAUUUUAGGCUUUGGGGCACGGAACAGAUGAAUGUCCAUGAACCCAUUUGUCUUUAUGAGCUAUUGAGUGAUCUAUGCAAACAGGGGGACUCUUGUGCAAAAAAUGCUGAAAUACAGUGGAAACCAACAAAAAUCAGUGUGGAAAAAGAAGCAAUGGUAAUUCUUUUUAAAGCUCUGAAACCAAAUAUCAGAGAUUAUUUGUGAGGGCAUUUCCUGGAGAUUUACAGCCACCUGACAUGUGGUCACAAAUGGCCUUAGUGGUCACAAAUUCCUCAGGAAAUGUGUGCGCCUGCAAGGUCAUGGAAAAUAUUUUGGGUUUUGCCUUUUUCCGAGAAACUUGUGACUACACAGAGCAAAGAAGAAAUAGGGGAAAUAUCUCAGCCUAGCUUUUCCUGCAUGACAUCAAAAACAAUAAGUUAGCAUUGCUAAUAUGCAAAGCCUUUUAUUGUUUUCACAUUUUCUGGUUGAUAUUGGAGUGAGUUAUUUGAAGCUGAAUUUGCCACAGAGAAGAAUUUGGAGGCUGAAGUGCUCCAGUGUUGCUCUGAAUGUAGCUGUGGGUUUUUUUGUCACCUCUUACGUUCCCAGUGAAAUUGAGGGAAGAGGUUUCUGUUCUUGUUGGUUAUGCUUGUCUUGCCUGUGUAAAGAACUUUGUGUGCAAAGACAUCUGGUACUUUGUUACAGAAACAGUUUGAUGUGCUUGGAGCUAGGUCACCGUUUCUCAGCAAAGUCAACAACAUCUCCUUUAAAAUAACUCUGGGGAGUGUAGGAAGCACACGCGAUAAAUUAGCAUGCUUUAUUUGUCUGUUUAGAAGCUGACAAGGAACAUUUGACCUUGCCAGGAGCGUAAGAGGAGUGAUGCAGAGACACUUUCUGCACUUAAGACAGCAGCAGUAUUUUCUACAUGCCCCUCGUUUACAGCCUUUCCCAACGAGGAUCCCUUACUCCUCACCCCUGCAGUCUGUGAUCCGUACAGCAGGAAAAAGAAACUUAAUACUAAUAUUUUUGUAUCGGUGUUACCCUUUAACCAAUUAUUUGGAAGGGAGAGGGGUGGGUUAAUAAAGCAGACCUGCUCUUCCAGUUCAGCAGAGCACUUAAACAUAUGCCUAGCUUUAACUAGGUGAGUAGGCUAAAUCUCACAGCACCUUUCUUGGGUGAGACUCGCCAAGUGAACAAACAUCGCGGGUUCAGCUGCUGAAGGUGGUGGACUGGGAGCCAACUGGCUUUAGACUCAGCCUCCCCGGCCGCAGGCUGUCCUGGACGGGCAGAAGGCUGGGCUGUGAAUUCAGGCUCUGAACUUGUACCAGCAGUGGCCGAGGGAUGCUCUGGUGGAGUGCUGACCCUUUGUAAAGGCUGCUAAUGAAAAAGCUGUGCGUGAAGUGUUGGUGGGAGGUCAGAGGAAUUUCUCACCUCCUCUUGCACUUGCAGUUUAACUGUGUGCGCUAAGCCAGAGCUCUAUCUAGCGAGGCAGGCACUGCAUUCGCACAGACCAGCCUUUUCCUAAGGCACUAUUUUCAGUAACAGCAGCUGUUUUAAAGCUUAAAGUUCUUCAUCCCAAAACUAUGUGCAGAUGAGCAGCAUUAGGCAGGCGGCAUUUUUCAGGCAGUAAUAGUGACCAGACACCCAGAUAGAAAUGUUGUUCUUUCUUCCAGACUGACAUGCCUGUGAUUAGUUGUAGGUACUCCUCUCUCAUGUUCAAAGGACUAGGAAGCCACAAAGUUUUCCACAGCUUCUUGCCUAGACUUCUGGAACUCCUUAUAGGAAAACCAAGAUGCUUGGUAAAAGAGAAAGUUCGGAUUUAAAGUGAACUGCUCAAUAUCCAUGUGGACAGAGAUGUCACUUCAGCUGUAUGACAAACUGACUUAGACUGAGGAGUUUGAAGUGACAGUGAAUGUGAACCAGCUCAAACCAGCAACCUCAGUGGGGUUCCUCAGUACAACACCAGCUGUAAACUGAAGAAGUGCUAGGCCGUGUAGGAGAAGGAGCAAUCUGGAUAAGGAGACGAGAUACUUAACAGCCCUGCAGUUUAUUUGCAUCUACAUGCAAUUGGAAAUAAACUUCGUCUGAGCCUGGAGAUUUACUGCAAGCUACACAGAAGGGCCAGGACUGGUGCAGAGCUUUUCCACAUGGAAAGACUGAGGCAGAGAGCUCAUAGGGCGCCCGAAUAAAAGCAGAGAUGCUCUGUGAGUCUAAAAUGCCUCCUAAAUGAGAAGGUAACUAAAGCUUGGUUCAGUCCUAGCAGCUGCUGCUCAGAAGGCUGACCUGGCCAGCAGCCACCUCACACAGCUGCUGUUACAGGGCGCAGAGCAGAGCCCAAAGGCUUUGGAGGAUCUUUGGCUGCACGUGGGGCAGCUCAGGUGCCUCUGCGUCCUGGGGCUGAGGGAAAGCAGACAGAGGUGACACACGUCCACCUUGGCUUUCCCCAUACCAGAGAAAGGUUUAUUACUAAUCACUUUUAUUACAGACACUAACACCAGAUAAUUACAAUAUGAAUGCAGUAGCUCAUUCAAAGAGGAGGGAUGCCAGACAGCACCUACAAACAGAGCUUUUCUGAACUCUUCUGGGAACCAUUCUAGACCCUCAAUCCCCUCUGAAACCAGUGCAGCCUUCGCAGGUUGCCCUUUUCUCAUGCUGGAUUUGCACCACGUUAGAAUAGCAGCCACACAGCCCUGCUGGAGAUUUACUUUGCACCAUAGCAUUCUUUAGCUAACAACUUCCUCUUACUGAGUGUGGAUUUGGUUUACAUUUUGGGAGACUUUCAUGAACGCUUUUUUUUUUUUUUAAUCCCCUCCUCUUCUCCUUUCUGCCAAGAGUGAAGGCUGUGUUUAUAAGCAGCAGCUAGCCUGGCACUAGUUCUUACUAGAAAAGUUUACCUAUUGCCAAGUAAACAUAAGCACAUUGAAGCUGGGGAAGAAGCUUUCUAUUCCUACCUUCUUCCCAAAGGUUUGCCUCAGAGAAAAAAGUCCUUGCUGUAUGUUUGGUAGGUGCAUUUGGGGAACAGCCAGGAAAGUGUCGCUAUUUAAACAGGGAAGACAAAUGCAGAGCUUCCUUCCUUCUCAUCUUUCUUCGUAGGCACAAUGAAUCCUGAGCGAUGCAGUCCUGUGGAGCAGGAUCCGAGGGAACCUCCUGGGGAAGGGUCAAGCUCCACAGCUCCCCCCAAGAGCAAGUUGUGUGAGUCACAGUCUCUGCCUGUCCAAGUGCUUCAGGCAAUGCUUUUCCACUGCUGCGGCCGACCCUCUUCUGAGCUGCCUGAUGACAUGUACUCUCUUCUGUAGCCCUCCUUCCCUUUUACCAAUUCUGCUACGUGGUCAAAGACCCUGCCUGGUUACUAGCCCAUUUGGCAGCUCUGCUUUCCAAGUUGAUGCCUUUCUUUGCCACACUCACUGCACAGCCUUGUCAGCCCGCUGGGACUGCUCAGCCUCCUUACCUAGCACGAGCACUGCACCUCGCUGCAUACGUGCACGGAUACAUUGUGUGUCCUCUGUUCCUCUGGGCCAGUGCCUUGGGGGCAGGAUCAAAACUGAAAAGUAACCCAAAUGCGUAGUACUUAAAAGUCUCCACAAUCUGUCUAUGAUAGUUUAAGAAAACAUGACCAAUUAGGAAAGAUUAAAAUGCCCAGAAAUUAAAAGUAAGUAAACACAUUGCUUAUCUUUAUGAAACAAAUAAAUUACAUCAGCUUAAAUUCAGUACACCAAGGAUGCUAGAACAAUACUUAAACAACUGAUGUGCAAAUAGCCAUAGGAUAAAAAUGUUAGGAAAAAAAAAAGGCUAAUCUGAGUUUGUUGAGAGGAAUCAAUGUAAACAGUCAAAUUCCUCAGACUAAUCUUCCAGUCAAACUAAAAGCAGGGAAUAUAGAAGUACAAUACAGAAGGGUUUUAGUACUAAUUUUGAGAGAUUUCACACGUUCAAGUGCUAUAAGAAAUUUAAAAGAACAUAUUCUAAAUAUGAUGACUACCAGGUAGGCAUAAAACAAACUUAAAAUUGACUUAUUGACUUACUUGGAAUAUAAUUAUUAAUAAACUUAUCAAAAGCUUAAAAAAAAAAUCUCAGGUUGGUCUGGGUUGAAGAGAGAGACAGAACUGAGUAUCAUGAACUGGAAACAUGGCUGGGAGUUAUGUUUCAUUUGUUUUAAUGCACAAAGCUCUGUCGUAUUUGAACACUGUAUGGAAGUCACCCAGCCAGGCAGCACUGUAGCAGAGCAACACAGGAGUUAAUACCAUAAAGUGAUGAGAUGGCAGAAGGUGAGAACUACAGUCCUCACUCUGGAAUGUAAUAACAGUGCUUGCACAAGGCAGAGGACAGAUCUCACCAUACGUAUCAUAGAAAAGUUUCAAGUACACUCCUUUUUGUUUGUUUCAUGCACCCCUGGGAAUAGAGGUGAUACACAUUGACAUGAGGAAAAAAUUACUAAAACAGGAUGGCUUAUGUUAAAAAGAUUCCUGAAGGGAUAUAGUAAGACAUCUAAUACGUAAGUAUUAUUAAACAUUGUCUAGCUGAAAAAAAUAAAAGCUUAAAGGUAGCAUUUUAUGUACACACAACUUAGGUAAGUGAUGGAUGCAAGGGAAAUCUUUCUAAGUGGUAACAUGCUGGCCUACUGAAAAGGGCUAUGCUGGCAUGUUCUGGAAUCUCUGUUAUACACAGUGUGCAUCUGUGACUCAUGUGUCCUUUAAAAUAGUCUGGCUGUAAUUGAUACUGUCAUAGUAUGGGGCAUACAGGUUGCUCUCCAUCCAGUCUGUAUGUUUCUAAUUCUAUGACAUUGGUUUCAUUAAGGAUUCUUUAGAUUUUUUUUUUUUUUUCCUGCUGAACACAUUACCUCUACUGUUCCAUGCUUGUUUGCAAUUUUAUUAGUGCCAUUAGUGCUAAUUAUACAAGAAAACUUACAGAAAAAUGUGGAAAGUACAUUCAGUGGAGAAAACAAAAAACUCUAAAACUGCAGAUAACUCACCUUCCCCUGGCACGUGCUCACCCAUCUCAGCAUGAAGCACUGAGGCAGGCAGAAGCUGCAGGAGCAGGAUGCUUGCCAUCCUCUGCUUCCAGCAGACGGAUGCACACCACAAGGCUGUGGAGUGGUUUUGGCCCGCCCAGACUGUGUGGUGUUAUUUCAGAUUACACCCCAGGAGAUGCACUGCCUUUCUUUAUAAGGCUUUUAGUCUGAACCAUCAUGCUGCCCUGUACAAAAUCGAUAUUGGUAGCAGUAAAAUUCAUGUAUAUUAUUUCAUCAUUAUGCACAGUAUAAAGUGUGGGAUAAGGUAAUGCUUGCUGAAGAACUUUGUUAUUGAAAAACAAAUGGCUCAGUAAUGCCCAAGUUUCUAUAUUCAUGCAAAGCCAAGCCUCAUUAUAACAUGAAAGAAUAUUCUAAUUGCAAUAGACAGUAAGUACUCUUCCAAAAAAAGUCAUCUACUGCUGCAGUCUACUCCCGACAUGGUAGGUGUUGCUGCAGACAAGAAAGAAAUACAUGUAGCACUUCCUUUUGUACAGCUAAUUUUCUGUUGUUAUAUGAUAAACUUUGUAACAGAAUAAACAAUUAUAAAAUUAAACCAAA